AUGGACAUGAGGGCCCCUGCUCAGCUCCUGGGGCUCCUGCUGCUCUGGCUCCCAGGUGCCCGAUGUGACAUCCAGUUGACCCAGUCUCCAUCCCUGUCUGCAUCUCUGGGAGACAGAGUCGCCAUCAGUUGCAGGGCCAGUCAGGGCAUUAGCAAUUAUUUACAUUGGUACCAACAGACACCAGGGAAAGCUCCCAAGCUCCUGAUCAGUUAUGCAACUAUUCUGGCAUCUGGGGUUUCAUCCAGGUUCAGUGGCAGUGGAUCUGGGACAGAGUUCACUCUCACCAUCAGCAGCCUCCAGCCUGAAGAUGUUGCCACUUAUUACUGCCAACAUAGUUACGGUAUUCCUCCCACAGUGAUAGAAGUCAUAACAAAAACCUCCCAAGGCAGCAGAAGUGAGAGGCUGGGCUGCCCCAGCUGCUCCUCCUGCUGCCUCCACUGAUGACAGAACUGC